AUUUGAACCAAGAAUUUCAUAUUCAGCCCAAUCAAUCUUCAUAAGUGAAGGAGAAAUAGGAUCAUUUUCAAACAAGUAAAUGCUGAAGGAAUUCAUUAUCACCAGACCUGCCUUACAACUGCAUCUAAAAAAGCACAGAU